rnacentral:rRNA from 1 species
UACGUAGGGUGCAAGCGUUAAUCGGAAUUACUGGGCGUAAAGCGUGCGCAGGCGGUUAUAUAAGACAGUUGUGAAAUCCCCGGGCUCAACCUGGGAACUGCAUCUGUGACUGUAUAGCUAGAGUACGGUAGAGGGGGAUGGAAUUCCGCGUGUAGCAGUGAAAUGCGUAGAUAUGCGGAGGAACACCGAUGGCGAAGGCAAUCCCCUGGACCUGUACUGACGCUCAUGCACGAAAAGCGUGGGGGAGCAAACAGG